CUUUACUCUAGCUUGGCACUGAGUCGUACAUAUAUUUGUGCAGGAUAGGUGGGAGACUAUGAAAGAUGGACGCCAGUUCAUCUCGAGUCGUCGUUGAGAUACCACCCUUGUAUAUGUAUGCCUCUAACCCCUUUUUGGGGGACCGUGCUUGGUGGGGAGUUUAACUGGGGCGGUUGCCUCUUAAAACGUAACGGAGGCGCACAAAGGUAGGCUAGGUCCGGAUGGAAAUCGGACUGGUCGUGUAUUCGCACAAGCCUGCUUGACUGAGAGACCUACAAGUCGAUCAGAGACGAAAGUCGGUGAAAGUGAUCCGGCACCAACAUGUGGGAGUGGUGUCGCUCAACGGAUAAAAGUUA
rnacentral:rRNA from 1 species